rnacentral:rRNA from 1 species
GAGUAAAGAUUUCGGUCGCUUUGGGAGGAGCUCGCUUACUAUCAGCUUGUUGGUAGGGUAAUGGCCUACCAAGGCUAUGACGGUUAGGGGGUGUGAGAGCAUGACCCCCAGCAUUGGCACUGAAACACUGGCCAAACACCUACGGGUGGCUGCAGUCGAGAAUCUUCCACAAUGGGGGAAACCCUGAUGGAGCGAUGCUGCGUGCGGGAUGAAGGCCUUCGGGUUGUAAACCGCUUUUGUAGGGGACGAAAUUUUUGACGGUACCCUUUCGAAUAAGAGGUUGCUAACUCUGUGCCAGCAGCAGCGGUAAUACAGAGACCUCAAGCGUUAUCCGGAUUUACUGGGCGUAAAGCGUCUGUAGGGGGUUUAUUAAGUUCCAAGUAAAAUUUCAAGGCUCAACUUUGAAUUCGCUUGGAAAACUAAUAAACUGGAGUCUAGCAGAGGUGCAUGGAACUUGUGGUGUAGGAGUGAAAUCCGUUGAUAUCACAAGGAACACCAAAGGCGAAGGCAUUGCACUGGGCAAGCACUGACCCUGAGAGACGAAAGCGUGGGGAGCAAAACGGAUUAGGAUACCCGUGUUAGUCCACGCCCUAAACGAUGAAUGCUAAAUGUUCGGGGAUUCGACCCCCUGGGUGUUACAGCUAACGCGUUAAGCAUUCCGCCUGGGAAGUACGGCCGCAAGGCUAAAACUCAAAGGAAUAGACGGGGAUCCGCACAAGCGGUGGAGCGUCUGGUUUAAUUUCGACAGUAAGCGUGGUACCUCACCAGGGUUUGACAUCCCUUGACAGCCUUGGAAACAAGGUUUCCUUCGGGCAAGGUGACAGGUGCUGCAUGGUCGUCGUCAGUUCGUGCCGUGAGGUGUUCCGUUAAGUCGGGAAACGAACGAAACCCCUAUUGCAUGUUACAAUUUCUCAUGCAAGACUGCCCGGAUAUACUGGGAGGAAGGUGGGGAUGACGUCAGAUCUGCAUGGUCCUUAUACCCUGGGCGACACAGGCGCUACAAUGGCA